CAGCACUGCAUUUUUUGGUUGUGGUUCAGCGAAAGAAUUUCUAUGUGCUCAUAAAUCUAAACUACGUAUACGCACUUAACACGUUAUAUCCGGACUCGUGACUCGGACACUGUACCACUUUUGCCGGCUGCCAAUGUGAGACAACGACCGGUUGCUCAUCAUUCAUUUUACUUGGAAGAAAAGAACGAGCACAAAGAGCAUCAAUUACCCUCGUCACCGUGAUCUUGAAAGGUGGACGCUAUUAAGCGCAUUGCAAUGACUUGCAGUGGUCCACGUCAACACUACCAUCUUGUUAUAGCGUUAUCAAGUGGAUUAUGAGUUAUGACUGCAUAAACUCCAACUCAAGAUGUGCAUCAUCUACCCAAUCAUUCGUUUUCAAAAUCUUUUUUUUAAUGAUUUAUUCUUAAAAAAUUGAAUAUCUGGAUGUGCAGAUAAUUUUGCACUUGAGCAUGCGAUUUGAACGAUCAGCAUCUGCUAUAAAAGAAGUGCAUUUUAUUGUCGAAAGGCGGUGGAAUCGGUGUCUGGACUCUGGAGCAGCCAACGGCCGUGCGGUUAUCAGUUGAACAAUUACAAAAUUCAGGAACAAUCGGCGAGGAAGAUCUUUCAUUCAAUUACCCACUAAAUAUCUGGAAUAAUAAGGCUUGUAAUGGCAGUGGUGGUAAUAAAAUGGAACUAAAGUUUUGCGUUUGUUGGCUGAACAAACCGCGUGGAUUCAUGUUUUAAGAUAGAAAUCUCUCUGUGGAGUUAUGCAGACCUUUUUUUUAAUGGAUGGUGCACUUCGGUAAUCAAAAGAGAGGAACGGACCAUAGUACUCUACAAUACCUGGGAGCUCAAAAGCUAUACAUAUUAUAUUUUAUAACAGAUGUCGCGAGUGCAGCGCAAUAUGGAUGGAGCGGAAACGGGCAAAUACAUUGGCGGUUGGCUGCCGCUGGUAAGCAGCAGCAAUAUUCCCGAAACGCCAGUUCUGGAUGGAAUCCUGCAGGCGCAGUAUCCUUUCUCCACUGAGGAAACCAACAUAAUGCACUGCCAGUUAGCACAACUUCACGCACCUCAGAUUCUACCAAAUGCCGUAGAGCAAAGAUGGCUCGGUCCUUUAGAUUACCACACUUCCUCACCAGCGGUCGUCCAGGACCGCUCCGGAGGAAUUCGGCACUCGUCUGCUCAAGUAUCAUCCACCCAGAGUUUUCACUUGCAAACAGUACCGGCGUUGCCGCAGCAAGAAACUGGGUAUAUUAACGCACCGGAUACAGACGAAAUGGCUUCGGAAAUAAAAAAGGAAAUCUUGGAUUUUUUCCUUGCAGAUUAUCCAUCCUCUCA